rnacentral:lncRNA from 1 species
AUGCCUGCCCUCAGCACCCUCGCCUCUGUGCCUUUCACCCCUGUACAGCUGGCUCUCCCAGGCUCUGAGCAUUUGUCUAGGCUGGGAUCUCUUGUGAGUGGAGUAAAGGUGGAGACUCUGUGGACUUUACCAACUGAUAUUCUGCUAGAAGCGUUACCUGCUAUGAGCCUUCAGACACCUGGGCUCACCCCCCCACAGGUCAACACUAUCAUCUCCAAACUCUGGGUAAGAAACUCCACUCUUUUUCUCUUUAGGCCUCUGAACAUGAAUAUCUCAUAUUGGAGUAUCAGUUGAGAGAAACAGCUGUAAAUCCAUAAUUAAAAGAGCUUCAAGUAUUAACACCAAGACUGGAUAUACAUAACCAUAUGUAAAUCAAAUUCCAUUGUUGGACAAGAUGAGAAGCAAAAGCACCCCUUCAGUGGAAUAGAAGAAUUUCUGGGUUUGAAUAUCUCUUUAAGUGUCACAUAAUAUUACAAAAAUGGAUAGUCAUUUCACCAGAUGCAUGCUGAUCUUGAAUAUGCAACUGCUCAGGAAAUGAAUGUGAAUUUCUUCUUCCAUGCUUUCAGGGUUCUAGUUCUGUGUCCCAGUGGAUGGAUAAAGUCAAUCCUUUGCUCUCUAGCACUCCACUCCUCAGUGUGAUCGCCCAAGUCCCUCAGCUGCUGAUCAGAGACACUGCUGUACACACUCGCCUCUGGAACACACAGCAGGUAUCGUCUAGUCCAGCCAUACACACUUCAUUUAUCAACCACAAUAACAGUACAAUUAUAGUUUUUUGAUAAUAUUAUAUAC